rnacentral:rRNA from 1 species
UAGGGAAUCUUCCGCAAUGGGCGAAAGCCUGACGGAGCAACGCCGCGUGAGUGAUGAAGGUCUUCGGAUCGUAAAACUCUGUUAUUAGGGAAGAACAAAUGUGUAAGUAACUAUGCACGUCUUGACGGUACCUAAUCAGAAAGCCACGGCUAACUACGUGCCAGCAGCCGCGGUAAUACGUAGGUGGCAAGCGUUAUCCGGAAUUAUUGGGCGUAAAGCGCGCGUAGGCGGUUUUUUAAGUCUGAUGUGAAAGCCCACGGCUCAACCGUGGAGGGUCAUUGGAAACUGGAAAACUUGAGAGCAGAAGAGGAAAGUGGAAUUCCAUGUGUAGCGGUGAAAUGCGCAGAGAUAUGGAGGAACACCAGUGGCGAAGGCGACUUUCUGGUCUGUAACUGACGCUGAUGUGCGAAAGCGUGGGGAUCAAACAGG